rnacentral:tRNA from 1 species
AGUAAAGUCAGCUAAAUAAGCUUUCGGGCCCAUACCCCGAAAAUGUGGGUUAAACCCCCUCCUCUACUA